ensembl:sense_intronic Gm42531 predicted gene 42531
GUGGUGCUCUCUUAAGUAACCUCUUGGCCUUUUCUUGUGAGAGUUGGGAAUAGCCUAUCUCUGAUUCAUUCUGUCAGAUCUUUCUCGGAUUCGUCACUUUGUCUGCCCCUCAGUUAGACUUUCAAACUUGACUGCUUCCUUCUACAAACUAACCUUACCUACAUUGCUUGGGAUUAAAGAUGUAUAUUAAGGACAUUUCUAUAUUCCAGCCAGAGGGAUUAAAGGUGUGUGUUAAGGACGAACCACACUACAACUAGAAACAGGUGUUUUUCAGUAAAUAACACAAUCUCAGGGUUCACAGUGUGAUCAAAUAUCCUGCAACAGCACCCCUCAGCACCUAACAGUGUCUCCACCCCACAACUGGCUCCCUUUUAGGAUACAGUGUUGUAAAGGCAGGGCCCUGUCUAUCUCCAUCUCCCACCCUAAAGGAGCAAGUGCCACAGGACAAGCUCUACCACACGUGAUAAAUUCCUUGGGCACAUCUUUGCCGUUAGAGUUUUCCCGUUCCUCCCAUCUCUGCUCGCUCCGUUCCUCCCAUCUCUGCUCGCUCACUGUCCUUUCUGUUGUCUCAGUCUUUUGUGUUGUUUUGAGAUGGCCAGGAACCAUGCAUGGGUCCUCCGGAAGAGCAGUGUCCUAGCAGAAGUGUUCACUGCUCCUGACACCAGCUUCUGUGCAGCCCUGGGCCUGAAAGCUCUUCAAGCUUCACACUCUGCUUUUUGUCCUCAUUCCCUGUCAGGCAACUUGCCUCAGGAAUGUCACUUGUAUGACAGUACAUUUAUUUCUGCUUCUAUUUGCUUUUUUUAUUGUAUUUCCUAUCUUUAUCCACUAUGGUCACAGGCAACUUUGUCUUUAAUUUUGCUUUCUGCACACACUGUGCACAUCUCACUUUGCCAUUUCAUGCACGAGUCUGUCCUGUUGUGGUAAAAUAACACAUGCUGUCAGUUUCUGUGGUCCUGCAGGCUCCUUUCCAACUUACAGAUCUGUUUGUUGACCCUGAUCCUGAGGGUCUAAAGUUUCAUAGCAGAGUCAGUUUGAAAAAUCUUAAGAAUUUCCUUGUUCGCUGGGCGGUGGUGGUGCACGCCUUUAAUCCCAGCACUCGGGAGGCAGAGGCAGGUGGAUUUCUGAGUUCGAGGCCAGCCUGGUCUACAGAGUGAGUUCCAGGACAGCCAGGGCUACACAGAGAAACCCUGUCUCGAGAAACCAAAAAAAACAAAAGAAAAGAAAAGAAAAGAAAAGAAAAAAGAAAAGAAAAGAAAAGAAAAGAAAAAGAAAAAAGAAUUUCCUUGUUCUGUGGUGUUUUCCUUACAGGUUUUGUUCUGUCCUCCACUGUGCCUGAGAACCCUCCCUUCCCCUCCCACUCUCCUUCCCUGCUCACCUUCCUUCCUUCCCUCUUGUGUUUGGUGAGUAGUAACUGACUGAUGUGGGGUUUGUCUCUAGCUGUUAUGUUCAUCAGCCACAUAGCCAUGUCAUUCCCUGUUAUCUGAGUCACACUGAAUCCGCACACUGCCUGUUAUAGAAGGUAGGUAGCUCAUUUGUGGAUUCCAUUAGUAUUUAUUGAGUAAUUGUUCCAUGCCAGGUGCACAGCAGAGAAGAAUUCCUUCCUGGGAGCACUGUGGUGGGAGAUAAAGGGGGAGGACAAACAAACAAAACAAUGGAGGGCCAAAGGGAAGAAGAAAGGACAGGGUGGGGACAGAGCUGAUGCUCAGCUGCCAUUUUAGACAGCAUUCAGAAAAGACCUCAUUGAUGGUGCCAGAAACAAACUGAAAGAGAAGCCUGCAGAGCCUGAGGAGAGUCCCGGUGGCUGUAUGCUUUGGUGGAGUGUGAGAGAGGCACAGAAGAACCAGGUGUAUGGGUGCUUGGAUAUACUUUUACAUUUUAUAUUGAUUAUUAUGUGUGGCAUGUGUGCAGAGGUCAGAGGGCAAGGCAGCUUUAUGGAGAUGGUUCUUUCUGUAUACCUUGAUGUAGGGUCUCAGGAUUGAACUUGGACUAUCAGGGUUACACAGCAGUUACCUUUACCCACUGAGCCAUCUUGCUGGCUCCCUUGUAUAUAUUUUAACUUUUACUUCAAUGGUGAUGGGAAGUCACAGGAAGGUAGAGGAGGGACAGGCUUUGACCUUUUCACAUAUCACUUGAGCUAUUACAUUGAACAUACAGUACAAAGGGUGUGGGCACAAACAGGGACUCCAGGAGGAUGCCAUGGUAAGAGUCUAGGCAGGAGAGGAUGACAAAGUAGAUAGAAGCUGUGAACACGAUUCAGAACAGCAGACAGGUUCUGGUUACCCUCUGAAGGUAGGAGAACAGUAUGGGUGUCCGAAGCUGUGGAAGACUGGGAUUGCCACUUGCAAAAGAGGAUUUGAUAACAACCCAGGGGCAUGGUUUGCCGCUGGUGUCUCAGCUGCAUGGGAAGCUUCUGAGAUGUGGCUUCAGGACUGUGCUCACAGACACACGAACUUUAGAUCAGACAGAGUACUUGAGCGGUAGUCAGAGCUGCAGAUGCAGACUUUAAUAGCAUUGGUAUACCCGAGAGAUGCAAAGGAGAGAGACUGAAUGUAUUCCCUCUGAGUGGAGAAGAGGAGACAGAGGGCUCUGUUUUGACACUUGGGUAUCAGGAUUGGGGCACAUAUAAAGGAGGCAGUGAGUGCAGAGGAGUGCAGAGAGGUGGAGUGCUGAGGAGCACAGUACCCUGAAAGAAAAGACACUGCUCUGUGUGUGUGUGUGUGAGAGAGAGAGAGAGAGAGAGAGAGAGAGAGAGAGAGAGAGAGAGAGAGAGAGAGAGGAGACAAUGGCUAACUAGUUCAACUCAGGCGUUCUGGGCCAAACUUUUCCCUGAGCUGACUGAUUCAAACUGGCAGAAGCUUCUCUCUGCUUCUGACUGAAUGGCUCUGCUUGGCUUCCAGCUAACUCUGGCAAUCUGUUCUAAUCUUUUGGCUCCUCGUCAUUCUCUGGCUAGUUCUGUCUUCACCUGUGUCUAGCUUGUUCUCUCUGUAACCUGUAUCUGUAAUACUGUCCUGGUAAGACUGCCAUGCACACACACACACACACACACACACACACACACACACACCACCCCUAUGUCUAGCUGCUCUCUGUAAAACUGUCCUCACCUCUUUCUCUCUUCUGCCCCUCCUAAGUAGCCUCUCUUUCCUGUCUGUUCUUAUGAGAGUUUGGUGUAUCAUAUCUCUGCUUCGUCAUUUGUUUAAAGGGAAUGAAAGGAAAAUAGAAUCAUGAUCAAGAAAAUGGUUUUCAGGUAAAGUGUUGCUGGCACACUGAGGGUACAGUGUGCUGAAGAAGCUAAGGAAGAGAGGCAAGGCUGACACUGGGCAGUCAGCACAGAACAUUCUGUAUCCAGACACAGAUGAGACAAGCUGUAUCCAUCAGCAGACAGGCAAGAGUACUUAGAUAGGGUACUAAUGCAGAAAUUGAUGGAGAGGUAGACACUUGCACAGACCUCUUUUGAUGGCUUUUGUUUCCUUGCUGAACAGGAAACAAAGUCAUCCAUUCAUCCACUGAGGUCAGUAUGUGGAAGGUCAGGAAAUCAUUACCUAAGAGAGUGGGAGAGCCUAGCCUAGGUACGUCCCAGGGCUGCCCAGGUCCAGGCCACCCAUAGCUCUCAGUAACCCUCCUUCAUUUUCUCAACAGUUUUUUACAUUUUGGAAGCACAAGGCACUGCCGGUUCAUCUAUGAUCUGUGCUGCAGCCCUGUAUCAACACUGCUUCCCCUUUAGUGGGAAGUGAAUGGGGAAACUGAGGUCUACACAUGGGGGCAGGGGGUGCAUGCCUUUAAUCCCAGCACUUAGGAGGCAGACGCAGGCCAAUCCCCAUGAGUUCAAGGCCAGCCUGGUCUAUAGAACAAGUUCCAAGACAGCCAGGAGUACACAGAGAAACCUUGUCUCAAAAAAACCAAAAAUAAACAAGUAGAGCUAAGGUCUGUUACUGAUUGUCAGAGUCAGAGCCAUACAAAAGCUGUGCUUGGAGAAGUAUCUUUCCUCCCUGAGGAACUAACUCUCCCGAGUCUGGUCCUCCCCUGGCCCUCAAGUCCUCACCUGUCCAGUUUCCUGUUCAGCCUUCCUCACUCUUGGCUCAGAACUGUAGAAAC